UACAGAGGGGGCGAGCGUUAAUCGGAAUUACUGGGCGUAAAGCGCACGUAGGCGGCUUGGUAUGUCGGGUGUGAAAUCCCCGGGCUCAACCUGGGAACUGCAUCCGAAACUGCCUUGCUCGAGUAUGGGAGAGGGAAGCGGAAUUUCCGGUGUAGCGGUGAAAUGCGUAGAUAUCGGAAGGAACAUCAGUGGCGAAGGCGGCUUCCUGGACCAAUACUGACGCUCAGGUGCGAAAGCGUGGGGAGCAAACAGG
rnacentral:rRNA from 1 species